rnacentral:rRNA from 1 species
UGAGCAAUCUGCCCUUCUCUUCGGAAUAAGCGUGGGAAACCGCGUCUAAUGCCGAAUACGACCUCCUUUCGCAUGAUCGGAGGUGGAAAGCUCCGGCGGAGAAGGAUGAGCUCGCGGCCUAUCAGCUAGUUGGUGUGGGUAAUGGCCCACCAAGGCGACGACGGGUAGCCGGCCUGAGAGGGUGACCGGCCACACUGGGACUGAGACACGGCCCAGACUCC